GCGGCGGACGGGUGAGUAACACGUGGGCAACCUGCCUGUAAGACUGGGAUAACUCCGGGAAACCGGGGCUAAUACCGGAUAAUAUCUAUUUAUACAUAUAAUUAGAUUGAAAGAUGGUUCUGCUAUCACUUACAGAUGGGCCCGCGGCGCAUUAGCUAGUUGGUGAGGUAACGGCUCACCAAGGCGACGAUGCGUAGCCGACCUGAGAGGGUGAUCGGCCACACUGGGACUGAGACACGGCCCAGACUCCUACGGGAGGCAGCAGUAGGGAAUCUUCCGCAAUGGACGAAAGUCUGACGGAGCAACGCCGCGUGAGUGAUGAAGGUUUUCGGAUCGUAAAACUCUGUUGUUAGGGAAGAACAAGUACCGGAGUAACUGCCGGUACCUUGACGGUACCUAACCAGAAAGCCACGGCUAACUACGUGCCAGCAGCCGCGGUAAUACGUAGGUGGCAAGCGUUGUCCGGAAUUAUUGGGCGUAAAGCGCGCGCAGGCGGUUCCUUAAGUCUGAUGUGAAAGCCCACGGCUCAACCGUGGAGGGUCAUUGGAAACUGGGGAACUUGAGUGCAGAAGAGGAAAGUGGAAUUCCAAGUGUAGCGGUGAAAUGCGUAGAGAUUUGGAGGAACACCAGUGGCGAAGGCGACUUUCUGGUCUGUAACUGACGCUGAGGCGCGAAAGCGUGGGGAGCAAACAGGAUUAGAUACCCUGGUAGUCCACGCCGUAAACGAUGAGUGCUAAGUGUUAGAGGGUUUCCGCCCUUUAGUGCUGCAGCAAACGCAUUAAGCACUCCGCCUGGGGAGUACGACCGCAAGGUUGAAACUCAAAGGAAUUGACGGGGGCC
rnacentral:rRNA from 1 species